CGGGUUGGGGAAGGGGGGGUUGGUGCGGGGGGCGGGCAGCGCUUGGGGGGCGGCUCGGGCUCCCCCCGGAGGGAGGCGGGGAAGGCGGCGGGGGCGGCUCCCGGUGUCCGGUGUGCCGCUCUCCAGCGGAGUUCCCGGUGUCCCGCGGUGGAAUUCCCGGUGUCCCGGUGUCCCGCACCCCCCGUCCCCACCGAGCCCCGCGCAGGUGGCCCUGAGGGCCCUGAGCCUCUGCCAGGGGCACCAUGAGGGGUCUCUGGGCCCUGGUGCUCACCGGGCUCAUCAGCGCCUGCCAGGGGAAGGAGCCGCUGCCAACAGAAGGGGAGUUGUGCCCGCGGCUCUGGGACGAGGAUCUGUUUGGGGACAAGUACGAGAAUGUCACCGGGUUUAACCUGGUUAAAAGGUUCGACCUGCUCAAGAUCUCAUCCAUCAAGAAGAUCCGCAGCGCCCGGGGGCCAGCGGUGCUGCGCCUGGGCACCGUGCCCCUGGUCCAGCCCACGCAGUGAGUGACCUGGGUGACACGUCAGGUGGCCUUGGGUGACCUGUGAGGUGGCCCAAAGCUCCUCCA
rnacentral:lncRNA from 1 species